GAAGAGCCUAAGUAGAAACACACCAGCCUGAAGAAGCCAGAAGUGUUGGGAGGGCAGGGGGUUAUUCACCUCUGUCUGCCUAUUAUUAUGUUGAGUAUUAGCUCGGCAAAAGUAGGUGCCAAAUUUACCUUUGGAUGAAUGAACAUGCAAAGACCUAUUAAGUAUAAGGUCUUGUCCAAGGUUCUCAAGGCUUAUUAUUUUUUGAUGGAUACAUCCUAUCAUAUUCCCUCUGCCUUAUAGAAUUCCUUCAUCUAAAGACAGCUAGCAGAGGAUAACAGAGUAGAGAUGACCAUCUCCCAUUAUAGAAUUGUCUAAACAUUGCUCCCUUGCUCCGAAAACUCAGUUGACUGUUUAUCAAAUAUUUACGAUAAUCAGCCACUUAAAACUGCACUAAGAAAAGUCUGGUUUUGUUUGUUUGUUUCGUUUUUAAGUGCUGAGGAUUGAACCAAAGGCCUCAAACAUGCCAGGCAAGUACUCUACCACUGAGCUACAUCUCCAGCCCUAAAGUCCCUCUUUGGAAGGAAACUGUAUUAAUGCUGGAUUAAUGUUUUAAGCCAUAACCAGGGCAAUAACUUUGACAGACUUAAAAUUGACCACUUGAUAGCUAGACCUAUAAAAAUCAAGAAUUAUUUCAAAAUUUAUCUUUCAGAAAAAAAUUAUUUAAAAGACGAUUAUGGAUAUUAAAACUUCUGAUUUUCUCAGUGAUGACUCUAUAGCUUCUUCAGAGAAAAGCAAGUUGUACUUGAUAUUUUUUUUCACAUUUCCUGAUUGCAACCCAUGAUGGAUUAGAGGAGAAAAUAGCUGCAAUACUCCCAAUGAUAAAUAGAAUAAAAUAUUUUAUUAAUGGGGACACAUGUUUCUGGGGAAAAAAAGAGAGGAGGAGAGUGGCAGGAGAGAUAAAAUUGGGCCCAGGCUGUACAGCUGGCAGGAGGCACACAGAACUGAACUUUUAAGAAGACGCAUUUAAAGAGGUGUGUACACAUAUAUGAAUGUGUGUGUGAGCAUGUGUUCUCAUGCCUACCUGUGUGUUUCUGCGGGGAGGGAGCUAACAUUUGGGAGUUUUAGAUGUGAUGGGCAUCGUGGUAAAAAGUGCUUCAUUUGCAUCAUUUCAUCCCUGAUAUUUCUAUAGCUCUUUGAAGUUCACAAAAUUCUUUCAUAUUUAUCAUCUCAUUUGAUUCUCCCAGCACUUCCAUAAAGUAUCAGUGUCCCAUUUUUAUAUAAACCCAUAAAGAGUGAAUAGUUUAAAUAAUUUUCCCAAGAUUGUAUAGAUCUUUAGAGAGAGAAGUAGGACUAAAAUAGAAAUGAGCCUCAAUUACAAAUCUGUUCAGACUAAACUCCAUGAUUUCCGUUACUUCAUUCAUAUCCAUGUACACACAUAAUUUAUUAAUUCUCCUCAGGGAGUAAACUAGGAUGAAUAAGUAAACUUUACUUUUCAGAUGUUAAAUCUCUAUUUUGAUCAGUGUUGAUAGACUUUUUUUCUGAAAUGUCAUAAUUCCUUUCCUGUCUUUGUAACAAAGUCUAUCCAUGAUCAUGAAUAUAUUCUUUAUAUUUUAUCAUGGGCACUUGGUGUAUUAAGUUGGAACUGAGUUUAUAUUAGAACCCUUUCUUCUUAAUUAAAUGGUCCACAUAUUUCAGAUUCUAUGAAAUUUGUGUUAUCAUUGUGUGAUUUCUGACUCUUAAUUAUUUAGCUGGUUCAUAUAACAUAU
rnacentral:lncRNA from 1 species